rnacentral:rRNA from 1 species
AAUUGAAGAGUUUGAUCAUGGCUCAGAUUGAACGCUGGCGGCAGGCCUAACACAUGCAAGUCGAGCGGAAACGACUUAACUGAACCUUCGGGGAACGUUAAGGGCGUCGAGCGGCGGACGGGUGAGUAAUGCCUGGGAAUAUGCCUUAGUGUGGGGGAUAACUAUUGGAAACGAUAGCUAAUACCGCAUAAUGUCUUCGGACCAAAGAGGGGGACCUUCGGGCCUCUCGCGCUAAGAUUAGCCCAGGUGAGAUUAGCUAGUUGGUGAGGUAAGAGCUCACCAAGGCGACGAUCUCUAGCUGGUCUGAGAGGAUGAUCAGCCACACUGGAACUGAGACACGGUCCAGACUCCUACGGGAGGCAGCAGUGGGGAAUAUUGCACAAUGGGCGAAAGCCUGAUGCAGCCAUGCCGCGUGUAUGAAGAAGGCCUUCGGGUUGUAAAGUACUUUCAGUAGGGAGGAAGGUGUUGUAGUUAAUAGCUGCAGCAUUUGACGUUACCUACAGAAGAAGCACCGGCUAACUCCGUGCCAGCAGCCGCGGUAAUACGGAGGGUGCGAGCGUUAAUCGGAAUUACUGGGCGUAAAGCGCAUGCAGGUGGUUCAUUAAGUCAGAUGUGAAAGCCCGGGGCUCAACCUCGGAACCGCAUUUGAAACUGGUGAACUAGAGUGCUGUAGAGGGGGGUAGAAUUUCAGGUGUAGCGGUGAAAUGCGUAGAGAUCUGAAGGAAUACCAGUGGCGAAGGCGGCCCCCUGGACAGACACUGACACUCAGAUACGAAAGCGUGG